rnacentral:rRNA from 1 species
UGCCAGCCGCCGCGGUAAUACGAAGGGUGCUAGCGUUGUUCGGAAUUACUGGGCGUAAAGAGCAUGUAGGCGGAUGAAUUAGUCAGAUGUGAAAGCCCACCGCUUAACGGUGGAACUGCAUUUGAUACUGCAAAGCUUGAAUCAGGCUGAGGUCAGCGGAAUGUGUCAUGUAGCGGUGAAAUGCAUAGAUAUGACAUAGAACACCAAUUGCGAAGGCAGCUGGCUAGACCUGUAUUGACGCUGAGGCACGAAAGCGUGGGGAGCGAACAGGAUUAGAUA